AUUGAACGCUGGCGGCAUGCCUUACACAUGCAAGUCGAACGGCAGCACGGGUGCUUGCACCUGGUGGCGAGUGGCGAACGGGUGGGUAAUACAUCGGAACAUGUCCUGUAGUGGGGGAUAGCCCGGCGAAAGCCGGAUUAAUACCGCAUACGAUCCACGGAUGAAAGCGGGGGACCUUCGGGCCUCGCGCUAUAGGGUUGGCCGAUGGCUGAUUAGCUAGUUGGUGGGGUAAAGGCCUACCAAGGCGACGAUCAGUAGCUGGUCUGAGAGGACGACCAGCCACACUGGGACUGAGACACGGCCCAGACUCCUACGGGAGGCAGCAGUGGGGAAUUUUGGACAAUGGGCGAAAGCCUGAUCCAACAAUGCCGCGUGUGUGAAGAAGGCCUUCGGGUUGUAAAGCACUUUUGUCCGGAAAGAAAUCCUUGACUCUAAUACAGUCGGGGGAUGACGGUACCGGAAGAAUAAGCACCGGCUAACUACGUG
rnacentral:rRNA from 1 species